AGGACGACGCUGGCGGCGUCGCCUAACACAUGCAAGUCGAACGGAGAUAUGAUUUCGGUUGUAUCUUAGUGGCGAACGGGUGAGUAACGCGUGAGCAACCUGACUCUUAGAGGGGGAUAACACUCGGAAACGGUGCUAAUACCGCAUAAGACCACGACAUGGCAUCAUGACGAGGUCAAAGGAGCAAUCCGCUGAGAGAGGGGCUCGCGUCCCAUUAGAUAGAUGGCGGGGUAACGGCCCACCAUGUCAGCGAUGGGUAGCCGAGCUGAGAGGCUGAUCGGCCACACUGGAACUGAGACACGGUCCAGACUCCUACGGGAGGCAGCGGUGGGGAAUAUUGGGCAAUGGGCGCAAGCCUGACCCAGCAACGCCGCGUGAGGGAAGAAGGCUUUCGGGUUGUAAACCUCUGUCCUUGGUGACGAAAAAAAUGACGGUAGCCAAGGAGGAAGCCCCGGCUAACUACGUG
rnacentral:rRNA from 1 species